rnacentral:rRNA from 1 species
AGAAUUGGGUGGUUGGUGUGAUUUCGAUUGUUUGAGGGUGUAUUGUAUUUGGGCAUUGAUUGCGAUCCCGCGCUUGCUGAGGGUAUAAUGGGUGAGUAACACGUAGGUCAUCUGCCUUUUAGUGGGGAAUAACACAGCGAAAGUUGUGCUAAUACCGCAUAAGUAAGUAAUUAGAAAGUGGGCGCCGCAAGGGCUCACGCUGAAAGAAGAGCCUGCGGCCUAUUAGCUAGUUGGUGGGGUAAUGGCCUACCAAGGCAACGAUAGGUAUCCGGUCUGAGAGGAUGAUCGGACACACUGGAACUGAGACACGGUCCAGACUCCUACGGGAGGCAGCAGUAGGGAAUAUUGCGCAAUGGGGGCAACCCUGACGCAGCAACGCCGCGUGAGUGAGGAAGGUCUUCGGAUUGUAAAACUCUUUUAUUUGGGAAAAAUGACCUGGUGGUUAACACCCAUCAGGAGUGAUGGUACCAAAGGAAUAAGCACCGGCUAACUUCGUGCCAGCAGCCGCGGUAAUACGAAGGGUGCAAGCGUUGUUCGGAAUCAUUGGGCGUAAAGCGCGCGCAGGCGGAUCAGCAAGUCAGAUGUGAAAUCUCGAAGCUCAACUUCGAAACUGCGUCUGAAACUGCUAGUCUAGAAUGUCGGAGGGGGCAGGGGAAUUUCACGUGUAGGGGUAAAAUCCGUAGAGAUGUGAAGGAACACCGGAGGCGAAGGCGCCUGCCUGGAUGAUUAUUGACGCUGAGGCGCGAAAGCGUGGGGAGCAAACAGGAUUAGAUACCCUGGUAGUCCACGCCGUAAACGAUGAGCACUAGUUAUUGGAGGUAUUGACUCCUUCGGUGACGCAGCUAACGCAUUAAGUGCUCCGCAUGGUGGGUGGUCGCACCAACCACUGGGGUAGGAUAUCUCUCCGUUUCGGUCCCAAAGACUUCAAAAGAAAAAGCAUUGAUGGCCUCGGAGACGAUUGGCCUAUCGGAUAUGAAGAUGUGAAGCCUUAUUACAACCGCUAUCGUGACUGGGA